UACGUAGGGGGCAAGCGUUGUCCGGAAUCAUUGGGCGUAAAGCGCGUGUAGGCGGCCAGAAAAGUCCGCUGUGAAGACUCGAGGCUCAACCUCGAGCUGUCGGUGGAAACUUUCUGGCUAGAGUCCGGAAGAGGAGAAUGGAAUUCCUGGUGUAGCGGUGAAAUGCGCAGAUAUCAGGAAGAACACCCGUGGCGAAGGCGGUUCUCUGGGACGGUACUGACGCUGAGACGCGAAAGCGUGGGGAGCGAACAGG
rnacentral:rRNA from 1 species